GGCUAUGUAGCUCAGUGGUAAAGUACUUGCCUGACAUGCAUGAGGCUCUGAGUUUGAUCCUCAGACUUAUCUA
rnacentral:tRNA from 1 species